rnacentral:rRNA from 1 species
UUACACAUGCAGUCGAACGCCCCGCAAGGGGAGUGGCAGACGGGUGAGUAACGCGUGGGAAUCUACCUAGUUCUACGGAACAACAGUUGGAAACGACUGCUAAUACCGUAUACGCCCUACGGGGGAAAGAUUUAUCGGAAUUAGAUGAGCCCGCGUGAGAUUAGCUAGUUGGUGGGGUAAUGGCCUACCAAGGCGACGAUCUCUAGCUGGUCUGAGAGGAUGAUCAGCCACACUGGGACUGAGACACGGCCCAGACUCCUACGGGAGGCAGCAGUGGGGAAUAUUGGACAAUGGGCGAAAGCCUGAUCCAGCCAUGCCGCGUGAGUGAUGAAGGCCUUAGGGUUGUAAAGCUCUUUCAGUAGGGAAGAUAAUGACGGUACCUACAGAAGAAGCCCCGGCUAACUUCGUGCCAGCA